CGUUCUGUAAGCCUGCGAAGGUGUGCUGUGAGGCAUGCUGGAGGUAUCAGAAGUGCGAAUGCUGACAUAAGUAACGAUAAAGCGGGUGAAAAGCCCGCUCGCCGGAAGACCAAGGGUUCCUGUCCAACGUUAAUCGGGGCAGGGUGAGUCGACCCCUAAGGCGAGGCCGAAAGGCGUAGUCGAUGGGAAACAGGUUAAUAUUCCUGUACUUGGUGUUACUGCGAAGGGGGGACGGAGAAGGCUAUGUUGGCCGGGCGACGGUUGUCCCGGUUUAAGCGUGUAGGCUGGUUUUCCAGGCAAAUCCGGAAAAUCAAGGCUGAGGCGUGAUGACGAGGCACUACGGUGCUGAAGCAACAAAUGCCCUGCUUCCAGGAAAAGCCUCUAAGCAUCAGGUAACAUCAAAUCGUACCCCAAACCGACACAGGUGGUCAGGUAGAGAAUACCAAGGCGCUUGAGAGAACUCGGGUGAAGGAACUAGGCAAAAUGGUGCCGUAACUUCGGGAGAAGGCACGCUGAUAUGUAGGUGAAGUCCCUCGCGGAUGGAGCUGAAAUCAGUCGAAGAUACCAGCUGGCUGCAACUGUUUAUUAAAAACACAGCACUGUGCAAACACGAAAGUGGACGUAUACGGUGUGACGCCUGCCCGGUGCCGGAAGGUUAAUUGAUGGGGUUAGCCGCAAGGCGAAGCUCUUGAUCGAAGCCCCGGUAAACGGCGGCCGUAACUAUAACGGUCCUAAGGUAGCGAAAUUCCUUGUCGGGUAAGUUCCGACCUGCACGAAUGGCGUAAUGAUGGCCAGGCUGUCUCCACCCGAGACUCAGUGAAAUUGAACUCGCUGUGAAGAUGCAGUGUACCCGCGGCAAGACGGAAAGACCCCGUGAACCUUUACUAUAGCUUGACACUGAACAUUGAGCCUUGAUGUGUAGGAUAGGUGGGAGGCUUAGAAGUGUGGACGCCAGUCUGCAUGGAGCCGACCUUGAAAUACCACCCUUUAAUGUUUGAUGUUCUAACGUUGACCCGUAAUCCGGGUUGCGGACAGUGUCUGGUGGGUAGUUUGACUGGGGCGGUCUCCUCCUAAAGAGUAACGGAGGAGCACGAAGGUUGGCUAAUCCUGGUCGGACAUCAGGAGGUUAGUGCAAUGGCAUAAGCCAGCUUGACUGCGAGCGUGACGGCGCGAGCAGGUGCGAAAGCAGGUCAUAGUGAUCCGGUGGUUCUGAAUGGAAGGGCCAUCGCUCAACGGAUAAAAGGUACUCCGGGGAUAACAGGCUGAUACCGCCCAAGAGUUCAUAUCGACGGCGGUGUUUGGCACCUCGAUGUCGGCUCAUCACAUCCUGGGGCUGAAGUAGGUCCCAAGGGUAUGGCUGUUCGCCAUUUAAAGUGGUACGCGAGCUGGGUUUAGAACGUCGUGAGACAGUUCGGUCCCUAUCUGCCGUGGGCGCUGGAGAACUGAGGGGGGCUGCUCCUAGUACGAGAGGACCGGAGUGGACGCAUCACUGGUGUUCGGGUUGUCAUGCCAAUGGCACUGCCCGGUAGCUAAAUGCGGAAGAGAUAAGUGCUGAAAGCAUCUAAGCACGAAACUUGCC
rnacentral:rRNA from 1 species